CCUACGGGUGGCAGCAGUAGGGAAUUUUUCACAAUGGGCGAAAGCCUGAUGGAGCAACGCCGCGUGCAGGAUGAAGGCCUUCGGGUUGUAAACUGCUUUUAUAAGCGAGAAAUAUGAUGGUAACUUAUGAAUAAGGAUCGGCUAACUACGUGCCAGCAGCCGCGGUCAUACGUAGGAUCCGAGCACUAUCCGGAGUGACUGGGUGUAAAGAGUUGCGUAGGUGGCAUAAUAAGUAGCUAGUGAAAUCUGGUGGCUUAACCAUUCAGACUAUUAGCUAAACUGUUAAGCUCGAGUCCGUUAGGGGAAACUGGAAUUUCUAGUGUAGGAGUGAAAUGCGUAGAUAUUAGAAGGAACACCAAUAGCGAAGGCAGGUUACUGGGACGGUUCUGACACUAAGGCACGAAAGCGUAGGGAGCAAACGGGAUUAGAUACCCUAGUAGUC
rnacentral:rRNA from 1 species